rnacentral:tRNA from 1 species
GGGGAUUUAGCUCAGUGGUAGAGCGCUUGCCUAGCAAGCACCAGGCCCUGGGUUCGGUCCUCAGCUCCG